UACGUAGGGGGCAAGCGUUAUCCGGAUUUACUGGGUGUAAAGGGAGCGUAGACGGCAGCGCAAGUCUGGAGUGAAAUGCCGGGGCCCAACCCCGGAACUGCUCUGGAAACUGUGAAGCUGGAGUGCAGGAGAGGCAAGCGGAAUUCCUGGUGUAGCGGUGAAAUGCGUAGAUAUCAGGAGGAACACCAGUGGCGAAGGCGGCUUACUGGACCGUAACUGACGUUGAGGCUCGAAAGCGUGGGGAGCAAACA
rnacentral:rRNA from 1 species